AAUCAACGCUGGCGGCGUGCCUAACACAUGCAAGUCGAACGCGAAAGUCCCGCAAGGGAUAAGUAGAGUGGCAAACGGGUGAGUAACACGUGGGUGACCUGCCUUCGAGUGGGGGAUAACGUCCCGAAAGGGACGCUAAUACCGCAUAACAUCCUGCCUUUGAAGAGGUGGAGAUCAAAGCUGGGGAUCGCAAGACCUAGCGCUGGAAGAGGGGCCCGCGUCUGAUUAGCUAGUUGGUGGGGUAAUGGCUCACCAAGGCAACGAUCAGUA
rnacentral:rRNA from 1 species